rnacentral:rRNA from 1 species
GCAAGUCGAACGUGAUCCUUGGAUUCGUUCAAGGUGAAAGUGGCGAACGGGUGAGUAACGCGUUGGUGAUCUGCCCCGGAGUGGGGGAUAACUAUCGGAAACGAUAGCUAAUACCCCAGAUGUUAUCGUGCUUUGAAAGCGAUAACUAAAGUUCAGGCGCUCCGGGAGGAGCCUGCGUCCCAUCAGCUAGUUGGUAGGGUAAUGGCCUACCAAGGCUCAGACGGGUAGGGGGCGUGAGAGCGUGGCCCCCCACACUGGUACUGACACACGGACCAGAUGCCUACGGGUAGCAGCAGCUAGGAAUAUUGGGCAAUGGGCGAAAGCCUGACCCAGCAACACCGCGUGAAGGACGAAGGCCUUCGGGUUGUAAACUUCUUUUCGAGGGAAUGAGAAAGGACAGUACCCUCGGAAUAAGGCCCGGCUAACUACGUGCCAGCAGCCGCGGUAAUACGUAGGGGCCAAGCGUUAUCCGGAUUUACUGGGCGUAAAGCGCAUGUAGGCGGUCGAUCAAGUCGGAUGUGAAAGCUCCUGGCUUAACUGGGAGAGGUCAUUCGAAACUAGUCGGCUGGAGGGUGGUAGAGGAGAGCGGAAUUCCAGGUGUAGCGGUGAAAUGCGUAGAUAUCUGGAGGAACACCAGUGGCGAAAGCGGCUCUCUGGACCAUUCCUGACGCUGAGAUGCGAAAGCCAGGGGAGAGAACGGGAUUAGAAACCCCGGUAUUCCUGGCCGUAAACGAUGUCAACUAGGCGUAGGAGGUUAUAAACCCCUUCUGUGCUGUAGCAAACGCGUUAAGUUGACCGCC